rnacentral:rRNA from 1 species
UACGGAGGGGGCUAGCGUUGUUCGGAAUUACUGGGCGUAAAGCGCACGUAGGCGGCUUUGUAAGUUAGGGGUGAAAUCCCAGGGCUCAACCCUGGAACUGCCUUUAAUACUGGGUAUCUUGAGUUCGAGAGAGGUGAGUGGAAUUCCGAGUGUAGAGGUGAAAUUCGUAGAUAUUCGGAGGAACACCAGUGGCGAAGGCGGCUCACUGGCUCGAUACUGACGCUGAGGUGCGAAAGCGUGGGGAGCAAACAGG